AAGUUCCACUGACUGCCCUUUGCACUGAGUAAUUUUUGGCGAUUUUUUUAGUGAUGUUUUUCCGGUGGAGUCCUAGUAAUUCUAUACUCUUGGACAGGUUAUCCCAUCUUUCCCGCCAGAUUGAUGAGAUUAGGCAUC
rnacentral:lncRNA from 1 species